rnacentral:lncRNA from 1 species
AGAGAGCCUCGGCUAGGUAGGGGAGCGGGACUCUGGUUUGGGGGAGGGCCGGCGGUUUGGCGGGGGAUGGGUGCUUGAGGUGGUCUGACCGGUAGCGGGGGUCGCCUUCCCUAGCGGGAAGUCGGGAGCAUAUCGUUUGUUACGCUGGAAGGGGAAGAGGUGGUGAGAGGCAGGCGGGAGUGCGGCCCGCCCUGCGGCAACCGGAGGGGGAGGGAGAAGGGAGCGGAAAAGCCUGGAAUACGGACGGAGCCAUUGCUCCCGCAGAGGGAGGAGCGCUUCCUGCUCUUCUCUUGUCACUGAUUGGCCGCUUCUCCUCCCGCCGUGUGUGAAAACACAAAUGGCGUGUUUUGGUUGGAGUAAAGCUCCUGUCAGUUACAGCCUCGGGAGUGCGCAGCCUCCCAGGAACUCUCGCAUUGCCCCCUGGGUGGGUAGGUAGGUGGGGUGGAGAGAGCUGCACAGGCGGGCGCUGUCGGCCUCCUGCGGGGGGAGGGGAGGGUCAGUGAAAGUGGCUCCCGCGCGGGCGUCCUGCCACCCUCCCCUCCGGGGGAGUCGGUUUACCCGCCGCCUGCUCGGCUUUGGUAUCUGAUUGGCUGCUGAAGUCCUGGGAACGGCCCCUUGUUAUUGGCUUGGGUCCCAAAUGAGCGAAACCACUACGCGAGUCGGCAGGGAGGCGGUCUUUGGUACGGCCCUCCCCGAGGCCAGCGCCGCAGUGUCUGGCCCCUCGCCCCUGCGCAACGUGGCAGGAAGCGCGCGCAGGAGGCGGGGGCGGGCUGCCGGGCCGAGGCUUCUGGGUGGUGGUGACUGCGGCUCCGCCCUGGGCGUCCGCCGCCUGAAGGACGAGACUAGCUCUCUACCUGCUCUCGGACCCGUGGGGGUGGGGGGUGGAGGAAGGAGUGGGGGGUCGGUCCUGCUGGCUUGUGGGUGGGAGGCGCAUGUUCUCCAAAAACCCGCGCGAGCUGCAAUCCUGAGGGAGCUGCAGUGGAGGAGGCGGAGAGAAGGCCGCACCCUUCUCCGCAGGGGGAGGGGAGUGCCGCAAUACCUUUAUGGGAGUUCUCUGCUGCCUCCUUUUCCUAAGGACCGCCCUGGGCCUAGAAAAAUCCCUCCCUCCCCCGCGAUCUCGUCAUCGCCUCCAUGUCAGUUUGCUCCUUCUCGAUUAUGGGCGGGAUUCUUUUGCCCUGGCUUAACCUGAUUCUUGGGCGUUGUCCUGCAGGGGAUUGAGCAGGUGUACGAGGACGAGCCCAAUUUCUCUAUAUUCCCACAGUCUUGAGUUUGUGUCACAAAAUAAUUAUAGUGGGGUGGAGAUGGGAAAUGAGUCCAGGCAACACCUAAGCCUGAUUUUAUGCAUUGAGACUGCGUGUUAUUACUAAAGAUCUUUGUGUCGCAAUUUCCUGAUGAAGGGAGAUAGGUUAAAAAGCACGGAUCUACUGAGUUUUACAGUCAUCCCAUUUGUAGACUUUUGCUACACCACCAAAGUAUAGCAUCUGAGAUUAAAUAUUAAUCUCCAAACCUUAGGCCCCCUCACUUGCAUCCUUACGGUCAGAUAACUCUCACUCAUACUUUAAGCCCAUUUUGUUUGUUGUACUUGCUCAUCCAGUCCCAGUCCCAUUGGCUUUCUCCUCACCUGUUUUAGGUAGCCAGCAAGUCAUGAAAUCAGAUAAGUUCCACCACCAAUUAACACUACCCAUCUUGAGCAUAGGCCCAACAGUGCAUUUAUUCCUCAUUUACUGAUGUUCGUGAAUAUUUACCUUGAUUUUCAUUUUUUUCUUUUUCUUAAGCUGGGAUUUUACUCCUGACCCUAUUCACAGUCAGAUGAUCUUGACUACCACUGCGAUUGGACCUGAGGUUCAGCAAUACUCCCCUUUAUGUCUUUUGAAUACUUUUCAAUAAAUCUGUUUGUAUUUUCAUUAGUUAGUAACUGAGCUCAGUUGCCGUAAUGCUAAUAGCUUCCAAACUAGUGUCUCUGUCUCCAGUAUCUGAUAAAUCUUAGGUGUUGCUGGGACAGUUGUCCUAAAAUUAAGAUAAAGCAUGAAAAUAACUGACACAACUCCAUUACUGGCUCCUAACUACUUAAACAAUGCAUUCUAUCAUCACAAAUGUGAAAAAGGAGUUCCCUCAGUGGACUAACCUUAUCUUUUCUCAACACCUUUUUCUUUGCACAAUUUUCCACACAUGCCUACAAAAAGUACUUCUCUGCUCAAGUCACACUGAGUUGAUUGCUAUUUACCGAAAUCAAAGUAACAUUAUCAGAUCUCUGUAGGGUGGUUCCCUCUGGAAUGCUACCCUCCAUAGUCCUUACCCUUCAAGUAAAGAGCAUGAAGACUGAAAUAUCUCUGUGAUCUGUCAUCCUUUAAGCCAGAAUCCCCCAUAAAAAAGUUAGUAUUGCUUUCUCCUGAUCCCAUAGCAGGUUGAAUCAUAGCACUUAUCAGGUUGUUGUCAUUGCUUGCUUAAAUUCUCCUAACUAUUUGGAGCUUCUUGAGGGCACAGGUUCUUGUUGAGUCUUGUACCUAAGCACCUAGUAUAGUCCUUGAUGUCUAGCCAACCCUAAAUAAAAUGCAGUGAGUGACAUGUAGAUGUCUUUAUAAGGUUUGAUAGGUUGGUCUCUCAAACAGUUCUUUUGUAUGUUUGGUAGUGCUCUAGAUUAGCACUGGCCAGUAUAACUCUGAUGAUGGAAAUGUUCUAUAGCUAUGCUGUCUAAUAUGGUAGUCACUACUAACAUAUGUUACUGUUGAGCCUUGGAAAUAUGGCUUUUGUGACAAAACUGAAUUUUUCAUGCUAUGUAAUUUAAGUCUAAAUUGCUACUGUGUACAUUGUGGCUGUAGCCACAAAUUUGUGCUGUGGAUUGCAGAAUAAUUAAUAUGGACAUUGAUAAUUUUCUUUUCAUACUAAGCAGUAAGGAAAGAAAAGUUGAAACUCUGUGGUCCAUUUAGGUUAUAUGUGUAUUUGUACUUGAUUGGUUUGUUUGAAUACCUAUUUCUAUACUUUAGCUGAGAGCUAAAGCCAACAAACCAGUACUGUAGAUAACCUGCUUUGGACAACAAUGUGUUGACUAGUUGGAUUUCAUCAAAGAAUGCCUAAUAAAUUUUAAGAAAAUGAGAUUUCAUUAAACCAUAAUACUGACAUAAGUUUAGGGAAGAAUCAGACUAUAUCUGGUGUUUGUGAAACUACCCCUGAAUUUCAGUCCUACAAAGUUUUCAGUUUUGGAAAAACUUUCAUCAGAGAGGGCACUAAGUUACAGGAAGCCAUCACAAAGUAAGUUUUCAUCUGAUGAAUUAUAAAUUUAAGAUAUAUUUUAAUACCAAAAUUCUUUAUGGUUUAUGUGCUAACUUAAAAUUUCUCCUUAAAAUAUGAGAACUAAGUACACAAUUGUACUUGGCUGUUUAAUGCGGAUUCCCAGUCCCUCACACAGAGAUUCUCAAUUAAGAUUGGAGAGCAGGGGUUACUAGAAUUCUUUUUCAGGUUCCUUAUAUGCUUCUGAUUUGGUGGCCUAGAAAUCACAAUGCUAGUGCAGCCCUCAUGGGGCUACAGUAUACGUAUCUGAAACAUGAUUACAUCAGGGAAACUGUAUGUCUAAUCUACUUUGUCCCUAAAGGAAGCAUUUUGAAAGGCAGAAAGUAAUAUGUGAUAGUUUUUGAAACUUGUAGGUCACAUUGUUUUUAAAAGGGAUCCAAGUAAGUUUUUUUUUCUUUUGAGGGCUACACCUGUGGCACAUGGAGGUUCCCAGGCUAGGGGUUAAAUCAGAACUGCAGCUGCCAGCCUAUGCCAGAGCCACAGCAAUGCCAGAUCUGAGCUGUGUCUGCAACUGUGUAGCUCACAGCAACGCUGGAUCCUUAACCCAAUGAGCAAGGCCAGAGAUUGAACCUACAACCUCGUGGUUCCUAGUUAGAUUUGUUUCCGCUGUGCCACGAUGGGAACUCCAAGUAAUUUUUUUUUGAGCAAGGAAGUUACCUUUUUUGUCUGUUUUCCCACUAAAUGCAUUCCUCAAGGAUUCCCAGUUUGUUCUUGAUUCCUCAGUGCCUUAACACAGACCUGGGUUCUCAGUAAAUGUUGAUUUUAUUGAUUUAUAUGUGAAAUUGUUUUUCAAAUAAUAGUUUUUAAGUCCAUAGAAACAAUGCUUCUUUUAUGGAGAUACUUUAGGAUCAUACUUGUAACCCAAGUUGCCUAAUACUCUGUUCAUAAAGAAAACUCAUGCCUCAUGGUCUCUGAAUAAUACAUCUGUCUACCAUUGAGCUCUUCCUUGGGUUUCCUGUGCAAACCAUUGCACUUAUCCUCUUCCUGUGCUAUACUUCCUCAGGCUUUAUUACAGUUUUUAAAAUAAACCAACUAUCUAUCUCUCUUUGAAGUAGAGCCAUAAUAAUUGCAUCAGAACACUGAAGGUUUUUAGGCUUUAAUUUUUUUUUUUUUUAAGAUAUUCAAAAUUUGGAGUUCUUGUUGUGGCGCAGUGGUUAACGAACCCAACUAGGAACCAUGACGCUGCAGGUUCGGUCCCUGGCCUCGCUCAGUGGGUUAAGGAUCCAGCGUUGCCAUGAGCUGUGGUAUAGGUCCAUAUGUGGCUCGGAUCCUGCAUUGCUGUGGCUGUGGCAGCAGCCACAGGUACGAUUAGACCCCUAGCCUGGGACCCUCCAUAUGCUGUGGGCGCGGUCCUAGAAAAGAAAAAAAAAAAAGAAAAGAAAAGAAAGAUAUACAAAAUUUGAACUACGCAUUGUUUCUCUUAACAGUUGUUAUGUAUGGAGGAGGUUUGUUAUAAUUACAGUUUACAACUCUUAAUCCAGAAUAUGUUAGGGAUCCACAUUCCCAGGGUAAGACUAGUUUGUUUUAGGCCAGACUUAAUUGUACAGCCCAUUGUCCAGCCACAUACUCAGGAGUCUCAUACUUUGCAGGCUAAAAAUUCUUGAUUUUGUUACCUAGUAGUGUACUGUUCAUGUUGGGGAACUUUUUUCUCCAGAAAAGUUUAUUAUCCAUUAUCCUGCCUCCUUUUUAUUUUCAUUUAUUUAUUUAUUUAUUUUUGCUUUUUUAGGGCCACACUUGUGGCAUAUGGAAAUUCCUGGGCUAGGGGUCAAAUCAGGGCUUCAGCUGCUGGCCUAUGCCACAACAACACGGGAUCAGAGCUGCAUCUGCAAUCUAUACCACAGCUUUUGGCAACCCCGUAUCCUUAACCCAAUGAAUACUAGUUGGGUUCUUAACCCGCUAAGCCAUAAUUGGAACUCCAUGAUCCCCAUUCUUGAUGAAGUGGGUGAGAAACUGGUUUAUUAAAGAACUAUUAAUAGCAUGGAAUGAAAUAUUUAGGUCUGUUUUAUCUAGGCCAGAGUCAAACUUGAUGACUUAUUACUGGUGUCAUGGUGUAUACCUUUCUUGCUGACUAGAGACUAUUUCUGCCUCUCUGAUUGUAUCUCAAAGUCAUGGUUGCAUUUAAUCCUACUUUUCCAGCCUUUUCCCCCAGAUAUUUAGUUUGUACUGGUACUUAGUCACCCUUUGUUUUCUAGGUUUGUUUGUUUUUUUUUUUUUAAACAUGUUUGUGAUUGGCUUUUCCUGCUGACAACAGUAACACAUUUUUUCAGCACAUUUAUAGAAUUCGUUAUUUUACUAGCUAACUAACCCCACCCUCUAGUGUAGGGACAGUGGUUUUUUCUUUUUAUUAACCUUUGGUUAAAAUCCCACCCCAGACUUUUUAUUACAAGUAAUAGCAAUUUACCCUAGUGCAUACCAUAGGCAAAAGCUAAUGGAAAUGUAGGUUAGAAGAAAUGAACUAAUAUUCGUUGAGUGACAGUUCUGUACCAGUUAGUAUGGCAGACUUGCCAGUGAGUUUAGUGUGGUUCUGAUGUAUAAAACUUCAUCUUACAGAGUGUGAAACUAAAGCUCAGUGAGGUUUAAUAAUUCUCCUGUAAACACAGCAAUUAGGAGCUACAGAUUCAAAAUUCUAAUCUGACUUACCUAGUCGGUAUCCCUUACUUAGCUUAGGGUACCAUGUUUCUCUAUAGAAACAGUCUUUUAGGAAAUUUAAUCUGGCUACAGAUACAGGAUGGGUUGUAGGGUUGAAGGCAGAGAGACCAAACUUAGGAGAUUCUUUUACAGUAGUCCUGACAGGAAGCGAUGGGGUCUGUUAUACAAUGAUGGCAAUCAAAAUGGAAAGGAAGUUAAAGGACUCUGAACACCAGUCACUGAAAAGAAUGGUCUCAACACAUCACUUUUCAAGGAAGCCUUCCUUGAUGCCCUUAACUCCACGAUAUUGGAUUCCCCACUUGAAAGCUGUCAUAGCACUUCUCACAACUGUAUUAGAUUAGUAAGUGGGGGAAUUUUUUUUUUGCUUUUUAAGGUUGCUCCUUGAGGGGAUGAUAGUGCUUAUAUUCCUGUUGUCUAAUCAUAGGGAGGUCUUCAGGUCAAAACUAUUUUCAUAGGAAUUCUCUGGUGGCCUAUGGGUUAAGGAUUUGGCAUUGUCACUGCUGUGGGUGUGGCCAGAGCCCAUUUUUUUUUCUCACAGGUGUGUAGGGGCUAUGUGAAUUUUCCAGAAUUUCCCAAGGUUGUAGGUUUAUGUUUUGUAACUUUAGAAAUUAACUUUCUUUAGGUUAUACCUCUAAAAUCCCACCAACCUUCAGAAUUAUGUAAUUGCUACUACAAAACUCUGUAGUUAAAUACAUUCUGUGGUCUUGUUAUGAAAGAAAGUUUUAAAUAUUUUCUCACAACUUAUUAACUUUUAAAUUUAAUUACAACUUGUUUUAGAAUUUUGCGGGGGGGGCUUCCUCAAGGUAUAUGGUGUUCUGGGCCAGGGAUCAGAUGUGAGCCACUGUUUGACCUACACUGCAGCUAUGGCAACGCUGGAUCCUUUAAUCCCUUGUGUGGUGCCAGGGACUGAACCUGCGUUCUGGCACUGCAGAGAGAGAUGCUGCUGAUCUUACUCAGCCACAGCAGGAACCCCUAGGAUUUAAUAAUUUAUUCAAAAUAAACCAAUUUUUCUUAUUAUAUAAAUACUAUAUAUAGAUACUAUAAGUAAUAUUUUUUAAGAAUAGAUCAUUGGCUUAAAAAAUGACAUGUUCAGCCCACAACUACACCAUCUAUGUUUAAAAAUGCUAAGAAGAUGAAGUUAAUAGAAACUAUAAGGAAAACCUACUGAAGUAUCUUAAAUGAUAAAUUAUAUAACAUAUGGCUGGCAGAUCAUACAUAUUAGUGGAGAAACUUUACAAAAAGCCAUAAACAGCUGAUGCUCUUGAAUGAUGAAAAGUAAAAAUUCAUGGUAGUGCUGCUUUAUAACAAUAUAGUAACUUGUUAAGAUUUAUGCUCAGACAUGAAGUCUGUUAAUACCACAUUGGUAGCACUGUAUGUGUGCCUCACAAUAGAUGAAUUUUCAAACAUGGUUGGGCUUGUUAUGUUGCUUUUACCUGUCUGGCAUUAGCAGCUAGUCAGACUCUUAACAUGAAGUGCGACAAACACAACAUGUCCUAUUAAAUAACUUUAAAAUCUUAACGGUUUAUCCUGACCUUUUCACUAAUGGUGAAACGCAAACGUGGGUAAAACUGCCAGGACUUGGCAGAAAGAAAGACAGUGGCACAAAACUAGCAGUCAUUUUCUGCCAUCCAUUUGCAGAAUAGGGGGUGGCAGUUUCACUUAAAGAAUGUCCUUGUGUGGGAGUUCCCGUCGUGGUUCAGUGGUUAAUGAAUCCGACUAGGUACCGUGAGGUUGCAGGUUUGAUCCCUGGCCUUGCUCAGUGGGUUAAGGAUCCCGAGUUGCUGUGGCUCUGGCGUAGGCCGGUGGCUACGGCUCCAAUUCAGCCCCUAGCCUGGGAACCUCCAUAUUGCUGAGGGAGUGGCCCA